rnacentral:pre_miRNA from 1 species
AGGGGCAGUGCUGGAUCCUGGGCUGUGUCCCCCAGCGCCCUGUGUUCCCGGGCCUGCACUGUUGGAAUCUCGCUCCUGGGCCGCGCAGCCCCCU